UGGGGGUAAAGCGUGCGCAGGCGGUUUUCUAAGUUUGAUGUGAAAUCCCCGGGCUCAACCUGGGAACUGCAUUGGAGACUGCCUAACUAGAGUGCGGCAGAGGGGGGUGGAAUUCCACGUGUAGCAGUGAAAUGCGUAGAGAUGUGGAGGAACACCGAUGGCGAAGGCAGCCCCCUGGGCCGAUACUGACGCUCAUGCACGAAAGCGUGGGGAGCAAACAGGAUUAGAUACCCUGGUAGUCCACGCCCUAAACGAUGUCAACUAGUUGUUGGUAGGGUUAAACCUAUUAGUAACGUAUCUAACGCGUGAAGUUGACCGCCUGGGGAGUACGGUCGCAAGAUUAAAACUCA
rnacentral:rRNA from 1 species